AUUGAACGCUGGCGGCAUGCCUUACACAUGCAAGUCAAACGGCAGCACGGGUGCUUGCACCUGGCGGCGAGUGGCGAACGGGUGAGUAAUACAUCGGAACGUACCUUAUCGUGGGGGAUAACGCAGCGAAAGUUGCGCUAAUACCGCAUACGCCCUGAGGGGGAAAGCGGGGGACCGUAAGGCCUCGCGCGAUUAGAGCGGCCGAUGUCUGAUUAGCUUGUUGGUGAGGUAAAAGCUUACCAAGGCGAUGAUCAGUAGCUGGUCUGAGAGGACGAUCAGCCACACUGGGACUGAGACACGGCCCAGACUCCUACGGGAGGCAGCAGUGGGGAAUUUUGGACAAUGGGGGCAACCCUGAUCCAGCAAUGCCGCGUGAGUGAAGAAGGCCUUCGGGUUGUAAAGCUCUUUUGUCAGGGAAGAAACAGCAGCUCUAACACAGUCUGCGAAUGACGGUACCUGAAGAAUAAGCACCGGCUAACUACGUGCCAGCCGCCGCAGUAA
rnacentral:rRNA from 1 species